rnacentral:rRNA from 1 species
AUGGCAGCCCACAUCGCCAUGGGAUGCAUUGGCAAAGUUUAUCACAAGGAUCUUAAGGACACCAUCUACCAGAUAUGUGGGUGCCGAGAUGAGAAAUGGGAGAUGAUCAGCACCAGGAGGGACAGGUCCAUUACAGCUUUCAUCCAGGAGUUAAACCAGCACAUUCGUCGCCAGGAGAACCAGAUGUGCGCAAGCAUGAUAGAUUUGAAGAAGGUGAUGACCAGGAACAUGGAGCUAGAAGAGGAACUCAAGUCUACACGCGACGGAUACGAGGAGGAAAUCGCAAUACUAGUGGAGAAGAAUGACGACCUGACGAGGAAGCUAGGAGUAUUCAUGGGAGACCCCGCGCCAGGAGGACAUGACGACCAUCCCGAUGACAUUUGUUCUGAAGACUACAUCAUCAUCGACGACACCGACUCCGACCCCGACAGUAGCGAUGAUGAUUAUGAAGACGAAGCUAGAGCAGAUAUCAUGGAGUCUUCCACCGAUCAAAAUUUCUAG